CCGCCUCUCCUCAUUGCCCCAGCCAAUGUGUUGGCAGUCUAAUUAUUUGCUUUUCCUCCAAACCUAAGAGUGUCACCUGUGAGGUGGAGAUGAAGCUGAUCCACCUGGAUGGCAUUCCAAUCAGGGGACAAGGGUUUGAGCCCUGGUCCGGGAAGAUCCCACAUGCCACGGAGCAACUGAGUCCGAGUGCCACAGCUACCGAGCCGGAGCGCUAGAGCCCACAAGCCACAACUAUUGAAGCGCGCGCGCCUAGAGCCUGUGCUCUGCAACAACAGAAGCCACCGCAAUGAGAAGCCCUCGCACCUCAACGAAGAGUAGCCCCCGCUCGCCGCAACUAGAGAAAGCCCCCACGCAGCAAUGAAGACCCAACACAGCCAAAAAUAAAU